rnacentral:rRNA from 1 species
AACGAACGCUGGCGGCAUGCCUAACACAUGCAAGUCGAACGAGACCUUCGGGUCUAGUGGCGCACGGGUGCGUAACGCGUGGGAACCUGCCUUUAGGUUCGGAAUAACUCAGAGAAAUUUGAGCUAAUACCGGAUAAUGUCUUCGGACCAAAGAUUUAUCGCCUUUAGAUGGGCCCGCGUAAGAUUAGCUAGUUGGUGGGUAAAGGCCUACCAAGGCGACGAUCUUUAGCUGGUCUGAGAGGAUGAUCAGCCACACUGGGACUGAGACACGGCCCAGACUCCUACGGGAGGCAGCAGUGGGGAAUAUUGGACAAUGGGCGAAAGCCUGAUCCAGCAAUGCCGCGUGAGUGAUGAAGGCCUUAGGGUUGUAAAGCUCUUUUACCCGAGAUGAUAAUGACAGUAUCGGGAGAAUAAGCUCCGGCUAACUCUGUGCCAGCAGCCGCGGUAAU